AGUAUGGGGGUUCUUAGUACCUGCACCCUUCUCCAUGUCAUAAGGCUGGGCAAUUAAGCAGCCGCGAUCGCCCCAAAACUGAUGCAAUAUACCUAUUACUGACUGAAAAUUCACGCUCUACUCUUCCUUAAGUCAACAAUUCAUAAACCAUUGUUGCCUAAACCCAGCAUUGUGAGCAGUUUUGAGCCGUUAAAAAAAUCCCGAAAAAAAGUUUGAGAAAGUAGUUGACAAACGAAAGGAGGUUCGAUAUAUUGAAUAAGUGCCGGAAGAGAGAACGCCGCAAAGCGAACUCGGAAGGACACCGAACCUUGAAAAUAUUAUAGUUUGAAAGACAGUAUACAACAAGUACCCUGCGUCAGAAAAGAAAAUAACUGUUUAAGGGUAAAUUUCCUGCGAUUAGCAUAUAUUCUCUGAACUAGAAUCGCUCCUACUACACCCAUAACCAAAAUCCAUACACCACCCCAAGGAAUUGCUGUAAACAGCAAACCCAAAAUAUAACUAAGACAAAUAAUUAUUCCACUCGUCUGCAUCAUAAAAUUUUAUUGCCAAAGCACACAGCAUUGAAAAUACUCCAUCAACUUUCCUAUAGGGAAGUUUAUAAAUGAAGUUUAUAAAUUAGGACUUACGCAAAACAGAACCAAAGUAGCAGUAAUUCAUGAAUUACCGCUACACAGGAAUAAGGUUUUCUCCAGGGGCAAGUCAGAUGUUAUUAAAUCUACCAAUUCCCGUGCAAGGAUUGACACCGCCACUGAAUGGUCGCUCUACAUUUAUGCGCUUGUCGAGUAAUGGAACUGUUUACGCAGCUAGUUUAGCUAUGUUUGCUCGCACGAAUGUUGAUGGUAGUGAACGUGCGCCCAAUUUAGCAGAGUGGCAAAAUUUAUUAGAUAACGGUGAAUUAUCUACACCUAGAGAUAAAGUCCCAACUCCCCUUGAAGAAACUGGUAAACCAAGGAUUUAUGGAAGGGUAGCAGGUGUAGCAAGUGGUUCUCAAUGGCGAUCGCUCUUAGUCGAUAAUCCUAAAGUUAAUUAUUUGACAAUUCCUCAACCCGGUCAAGCUUUUUCUUACCCUUUAAGCACACUACAUGGUGGAACUUUUGGUACCGGUCAAAUUCAAAGCGCAUCUAUGUUAGUCCGCUAUCCUGAUACGGCUUAUCGCGCUCAUGGCAAUUAUGGAAUUCAGUAUAGUCUUAGGUUGCCUUUAUACAAUACAACUCAAAAACAGCAAACUGUAACUGUGUCGGUGCAAACUCCCAUCAAAGAAGAUCAGUUAAAUAAAUCAGGACUACGCUUUUUCACCACACCAGCGCGUCAAGUCUUCUUUCGAGGAACAGUGCGAGUACGUUAUCAAGAUGAUCAAGGUAAACCAAAAACUGAGUUUGUACAUUUAGUGCAAACCAGAGGUGAACAAGGGAAACCAUUAGUAUCAUUAAAUAUGAAGUCUCGGUCUAAGGCAUUGAGGGCAAUGCGACGUAAUAAAGCAAAGUUUUGUGGACUGUGCAUAGAACGGAUUCGAGAUUCAUCUUCAUGGAAAGUGACAUCUAAUGUCCAAUGAACAGAGUUUUCAAUGCCCCAAUGUUGUCGGAUUGCACUACCAAUUUUGUUAGCAUCACUAUCAAGACUAGUGAUAUAAAAUUGCACCUCAUGAGUAGUUUUAUUCCAAUGCUGAAUCUUCCGAACUACCAUAACUACUGUUGUUAAUCUGGAAUUUUGGCAUAGGAGGUGUUUCACCACUAAUCACUUGGUGAAUUAACCCAUAUCGAGAUUUACGCUUGGGGACAGCUUGUAAACUUGGGCCUACUAGUCCAUCUGCUUCUAAACCGUGACAUCCAGCACAGUUGAUUUGAAAGAUAGCCUUUCCCUGUACUGGGUUUCCCAUCAGCGAUAGGACAUUCUUGACAUAUGGAUCGGAGGCUUGAGCCAUCUGAACACCAAGAAUGGCCAAAGGGAUUACUAUGAGUAUCGCCAAAGCCGACAAAGCGAUCCACAGGUAGCGAAAUUCCUUGUCGGGUAAGUUCCGACCCGCACGAAAGGCGUAACGAUCUGGAUGGUGUCUCAGAGAGAGACUCGGCGAAAUAGGAAUGUCUGUGAAGAUACGGACUGCCUGCACCUGGACAGAAAGACCCUAUGAAGCUUUACUGUAGCCUGGAAUUGUGUUCGGGCUUCGCUUGCGCAGGAUAGGUGGGAGGCGUUGAGAUAUUCCUUGUGGGGAAUAUGGAGCCAACGGUGAGAUACCACUCUGGCGAAGCUAGAAUUCUAACCCAUCUCCGUUAGCCGGAGAGGGAACAGUUUCAGGUGGGCAGUUUGACUGGGGCGGUCGCCUCCUAAAAAGUAACGGAGGCGCGCAAAGGUUCCCUCAGCACGCUUGGAAACCGUGCGACGAGUGUAAAGGCAUAAAGGGAGCUUGACUGCAAGACCGACAAGUCGAGCAGGUACGAAAGUAGGCCUUAGUGAUCCGACGGCGCAGCAUGGAAUGGCCGUCGCUCAACGGAUAAAAGUUACUCUAGGGAUAACAGGCUGAUCUCCCCCAAGAGUCCACAUCGACGGGGAGGUUUGGCACCUCGAUGUCGGCUCAUCGCAACCUGGGGCGGAAGUACGUCCCAAGGGUUGGGCUGUUCGCCCAUUAAAGCGGUACGUGAGCUGGGUUCAGAACGUCGUGAGACAGUUCGGUCCAUAUCCGGUGCAGGCGUAAGAGCAUUGAGAGGAGCCUUCCUUAGUACGAGAGGACCGGGAAGGACGCACCGCUGGUGUACCAGUUAUCGUACCAACGGUAAACGCUGGGUAGCCAAGUGCGGAGCGGAUAACCGCUGAAAGCAUCUAAGUGGGAAGCCCACCUCAAGAUGAGUGCUCUCACUACAUAAGUAGGUAAGGUCACGGGCAGAACACCCGUUCUUAGGCGGUAGGUGGAAGUGCAGUAAUGUAUGCAGCCGAGCCGUGCUAAUAGACCGAGGGCUUGACCU
rnacentral:rRNA from 1 species